UAGCCUAAAUGAUGCAUGACGUGACACAGAGGGAGGUGGCAGGGAGUUUAAAAGGAUCAGUCUGUGAGAUAGACACGCUUGUGGCAACUAAAUUUGUUAGUUCAAGUUUUAAGUAACUCCGAUUCUGGAUCCACAGCACCGAUAAUAAUGAUGUUCUGCAGAGCGGCUUGGCAAAGGCUCGCGCCUCUGGCACGUACAACACUCACUCCUUUCAGCAAUGCUGUAUUUCCUACACGACAGAUGUCCUUUGGUCUACCAGCGUCCGGCACAAACAUAGCUUACGUGGUACUUGGUGGAAGCUCACUUACUGCUGCUCUUGUUUAUGCUUAUAAGACAAUAAACUCUGACAGUGCAAGAUAUAAUGAAAGAAUUGCUCAACUCGAGGCCAGACCUAAAAGUGAGGAGGGUGAGUAUAAAUUUAGCUUCUGUUUUGGCAGCAUGUCUGUUUUUGAGCAGCACUCAUUAGUCAAUAACAAAAUUUUCUAUAAAUUUUGGUCUGUUUCCAUUUACUUGUUUUACCUGCAGCAACAUGCAUCUCACAUUUCAGAACAGAAACACUUUUCCAAGAGUAGUUGCACAACUUUUUAGUGUUUGCAACAAUUUAAAUUGAGGAAAGUAAGCAUGAUUGAUGACAUCAAUGGAACUUUGAACUUGAAAAGUGCUUUCAUAUUAUCAUAAUUUGUUUGGUUUUUGGAGAAAAAAAAUGCUACUUUUAUUGCGCAAAAAUGCAUUAAAUUGACCAAAAGUGUCAAUAUUACAUACUGCACCUAUAUUUGCAUUUUAAAAUGCAUUAAAACAGAAAACAGUAAUUUGUAAUUGUAAUAAUAUUUCACAAUAUUACUGUUUUUAAUUUUUUUUUUUUUAAACAAAUAAAUACAGCAUUGGUGAGUAAUACUUCCAGAAGUAUUAAAAAAUCUUACAGAUCCGAAAGUGAACUGAACUGAAUGGUAAUGAAUGUUCAACACAUAUGAUAUUGUGUGUAAUAACCAUUUGUUAUUAAAUCAGUAAUUCACCAAAAAUGUAAUUCCAAGCCCAUACGAUUGUCUUACUUCCAAGGAACACACAAAUUAAUUUUGUUUUGUUUGCCUCAAAAAUCUAUCGUAUGUCUUCAGAAACACUUGGUAUUAUAAAAUAAUGCAAAAUUUAAAUUUUUGGGGUGAAUCAAUCUUUAAUCUUAAUGUUUUUAUUUGUUCAAUGCUGGCUUGGUGAUGGGUCUACAUUGUCUUGAGCUAAUCAAGCAUCCAUGCAAGUUCUUUAAAAACUAAUCUGACUAAUUCUGAAGUAUUAAUUAAAAAAAAAAAACAUUUCUAAUGCUAACUCUAAGAGCUUAGAAUCUUUGAAGUGUAAUCUGAAUGAAUGGUUUCUGCUAUCUAUUUGUAUUGUCCUGCUCUCAUAAUCUCUCUAAUGUUGUUCUAUUAAUGACAGAUGGAAUUAGUAACACUUAAUGCUAACCCUCUUUAUUUAGUAUAAGAACACAUUUCCUAAGUCUGCUUUAACUUUUUAAUCACACUUGAUCUUGGAUUUUCUUUGGAUCAUGUUGCCUUUUUUUGAAGUUCUGCUUACUGUAUUCCAUGUAGGAGCAGUGGCCGAGGUAGCCUCAGUAGCCUCAGUAGCAGAAGCAUAUACGGUUGUGGAAACCACAGCAGCUGAGGUGGUUAAUGCAGUGGCGGAUCAGACCACAGAACCUGUGGAGACAGCAACCGCAAUUGUAGAAGCAGUAGCAGCUGAUGCUGAGGAACCUACUGCAACUGUUUUUGAGGAUGCCACUGCUGAGGCUGCUGCUCCCAUUGCUGAAACAACCGGUGAGGCAUCUUCUGCUGAGGAAGCAGCCUGAGUCCCCAGCAGUCUAGAUAUGUGAUUCUUCCCAACCCACAUUGGAACGCUCCAUUAAGUUGUUAGAGAUUCCCAUUUUUGUGCUCCUUUUAACUAAUUGACUGUGUCCUCUGAACGGAAAGAAGUGUCCCUUUUCAAAUUGUGAACUCCACAGGGUGUUAAUCCCACAGGUGUGGAGGAGGAGAGGUUGAGGAAGUCCAAAAAUAAGUGUUGGAGAUUUAAAUGAACAAACAAACUAAAUAUGGAAUUUUUUUUUAAUUAUUAUUAUUCCAGCCUGUGUUUUGACACUUGAAUAUCUAAUUUAAAUCACACAAAGUUUUUAAUCUCUCUUCCUUCACCCCCAGUGCAUGUGCCUGCUGUAAUACUUGUUACUGUGUAGUGUGUACCCACAUUAUAACAUUUUGGCCCGGUUUCACAGACAGGGCUUAGACUAAGCCAGAAUUAGGCCAUAAUUAAAUUAGGACAUUUAAGUAAUUUUUAUAAACAUGCUUAGAAAAAAAAAAAAACAUUACUGGGGUGCAUCUUGAGACAAAACAAAGGCACUAAUAUAUUUUAAGAUCAGUCAGUGCAAGUUUAUUUCAUUUGAAACAGCUAAGACUUCCAUUUUAGUCUAGGACUAGGCUUAAGCCUGGUCUGUGAAGCCGAGGGAUAGUGUCUCAUACGUGUGCAGGGAGGCAUUUUUCUUAAGUAACAUUAAAUAAUGUUUAUUGGCAAUAAGAACAUGCUAAAAUUUUAUGGAUAUGUAGAACUGAAUUGAAAAUGCUUUAUAAAUCCCAGGUCAGUUCUUAUUUUUUUAAUUGAAUUUGAAUUGUUAUAGUAAACAGCAUUCAGAAUUGUGAUAUUUAGGGAAGUAGAAUUAAUAUGAACUGAAAGUUGAAGCAAUUCAUUGUGCAAUAACUGUAAUUUUAACUAAAAGAAGACCCAUCAAGACAAAUUUUAAAUGAAGUUUAAAUUCAGCCUUAUAGACCCUAUCCAUCUUUUUUCAAGCUAUUUCCUGUGAAUGUGUGAGACUUUCAGUUUAUUAGCUACUUUAAUUAAAUAACUAGUAGAACAACAAUUUGCAAUAAACUAAAACUAAUUAAAAUAAUACAACAAAUGCCAGUUAAAUAACUGGAUAAUGACUGGAAAUGGCUGACACCAGAUGCAUUGCAUGUUCAAGUUCAAAAUGGCUGUGUGGCACACUUAGAUUAAAAACUGAGUGGAUACACUGUAAAAAAAAAAAAAAAAGUUGAGCGAACUUAAAAAAACAUUUUUUACCAGCUUCAGCAGAUUUUUGAGUUUGCUCAACUUGUUCUUGUGGGAGAUUCUCAAAUUUUUGUUGUAUAAACUUAAAACAACAAGUUGAGCCAACUUAAAAUUUUAAGGCAACAAACUUCAGCAGAUUUUUAAGUUGGCUCAACUUUUUUUUUUUUACAGUGUAGACAUGAAUACUUCAUUUAUAUAUAAUUCUUCUAAGCUUAUAUUUCAUACAUUGUAUUAAUACACAUGCAUUCCAAGCCAUUGUGGCCUUAUAAGCAAUCUUAUAAGAGAUCUCUUGUUUUUUUUUUUUUUUAAAUGACUUGCCAUUUUUCUGCCUGUGCAUGUUGUCUCUCAGUUAUUGGGAUGGAAGACAGACAUUGUGCCUUUUUUAAAUUUUAUAAUUAGCUUAAAUAUCUCUUAAAAUGUGAACUA